rnacentral:rRNA from 1 species
GAUGAACGCUGGCGGCGUGCCUAAUACAUGCAAGUCGAGCGAACAGACGAGGAGCUUGCUCCUCUGAUGUUAGCGGCGGACGGGUGAGUAACACGUGGAUAACCUACCUAUAAGACUGGGAUAACUUCGGGAAACCGGAGCUAAUACCGGAUAACAUGUUGAACCGCAUGGUUCAACAGUGAAAGACGGUCUUGCUGUCACUUAUAGAUGGAUCCGCGCCGCAUUAGCUAGUUGGUAAGGUAACGGCUUACCAAGGCAACGAUGCGUAGCCGACCUGAGAGGGUGAUCGGCCACACUGGAACUGAGACACGGUCCAGACUCCUACGGGAGGCAGCAGUAGGGAAUCUUCCGCAAUGGGCGAAAGCCUGACGGAGCAACGCCGCGUGAGUGAAGAAGGUCUUCGGAUCGUAACACUCUGUUAUUAGGGAAGAACAAAUGUGUAAGUAACUAUGCACGUCUUGACGGUACCUAAUCAGAAAGCCACGGCUAACUACGUG